rfam:Bacillus licheniformis ATCC 14580, complete genome.
UGUACAAAGUUUCGGCUCACUCAAGGGAAGCUGGCUCAUCCCCUAUGAAAGGGGGUGAUGCUUAUGACGACAUUCGAAACAAUCUCGUUAAUGAUUGCUUUUGGCAUGUUAAUUGCCGUGUUGUCGAAGAAAGAAAAAUAGACUUCCCUUGAGCCCUGGUAAAGUUCAUAGGGAAAGUCUAUUUUAAAAUGACUGAGCCAAGCCCUUGUUGGGCCGCUUUGUACACUCGACUCGACUGUUGGCGCAGUCGGG